rnacentral:tRNA from 1 species
UCAGUGGUAGUUCAGUGGUGGAAUUUUCCCUUUCCACGUGGGAGAUCCAGGUUCAAUUCCUGGCCAAUGUA